ensembl:lncRNA
AGCUACUCUAUUCAAACUGACAGGUCAGCAUGUGGCUACUUACUGUAUGUGCACAACUUUGCUUAUAAUCACACAGAAAUAUUACGACUUGCUUUUUUCAAAUCAUUACUUUUACUACAGGGGGCAUACCACACUAUCCAAUGGGUCCUCGAUGUCAGUGGCGGUAUGAAUCAUGUGUGAGUCCGUGCUUCAGGACAUGCAGUGACCCAUCAGGUCUGAGCUGUGCCAGUAUCCUGAAGUAAGAUCACACACAUUUAUGCAUGCAAACACGCACGCAAUUUUUUUUGCAAAUAUUUACAAGAAUCUAAAUUGCGUAAAGUGAUAUGGCUGACAUGCACUUUUCUAUAGGGUUGAGGGAUGCCUCCCUCAGUGUCCAAGUCACAUGGUUCUAGAUGAGGUCACUCACAGAUGUGUCUUUGUGGAGGACUGCAUUAAGUCUGCUGUUGCUCCUCCAUUCACGCCACCCAGUACUGCAAUAUCAUCAACAUCCUCCUCAGAAUAUUCCACCUUGAGUGGUCCAGCGGUGUCUAUGUCACUCACUUCUUCAACAGUGUCAGAGUCUAGCACCACUGCUUUCACACCUACAGCACACAUGCCAAGCACUGCAAAGCUUACAUCUUCUCCUCUCAGACCUGGGGAGGUGGAAACCAUUACCACAUUAACAACAUCAACUUCUUCCUCCCCAAGCCCACUGGCUUCCACUGAGAGAACUACUAAAGCACCAAGCAUCACCCACAGUUCCACUUCUUCCACCACAGUGCACACUAGCCCAAUAUCUCUCUCAGAAACUCUCUCAGAGACCUCUACAACAAGCACACCAACAGAGUCUUUGACACUUGUCACACGUACCACAGCUAUCCCCUCACCGUUGACUUUUAGUCCCGUUCUGUCAUCUACCUCAAGUAAGGAGCUGACCAGAGUAAGCACUCUACCUAUGCUUCCAGUCUCAGCCAGCAUAAGCUCCACAGACGCCACUUCCCCAACAGUCAAAGUGUCCUCUCCUCUCACCUCUAGUACUGAGACCCCCAGAGUCACAGAGGCCUUUAUAUCUACUCAAGAGACCACAGCACCCUCUGUGACUUCUAGUGGCAGUACACAGUUUUCUGUUGAAACCAUCAGCACAACAAAGUCCACCUCACCAUCAACUACAACACCCAUAUUAGUAGAAUCAAGUACCUCUAUCACCACAGAAAAACUGACCUUUCCAACGUCUUUACACACUGUGAAGACCCCAGAGAGCACCUCUGAAUCACAGAGGCCUUUGGACAUCACUACCAUUUCCACUUCCCCUACAGAUAUUGAAGCAUCAACCACUCACAUUACAGUAAAAUCCACAAGUUCUGCUUUUCCAACACCAACUUCAACUCAAACGACACCUUUUAUUCUUUCAACAUCAACCUCAAAGCAACCCGAAACUUCAAAAACAACAGUGUCUGUGCCCACAGCAGCUCCAACAGCUUUCAUCACCACAGUGUCCUCUCAAGCUCCUGCAUUUGUGCCAACAGAAACCACAGCAAAAACAACCUAUCAACCAACAUCUGUUAUACAUCCUUAUCCUGAUCUUCCAACAACUGAUAGAACAUUACAGACGGAUUGGAGAGUGAUCCAAAUCACAUCAACUCCAUCACCAGAAACAACCCAAACCAGUGCCAAGAUAGCAGAGACACCACUUACCACCUACACCAGUAUCCCAUUCACCUCAGCACCUACAGAAGAAACAUCAACACUGCUUACAUCACAUGUGUCACCUACUGACAAGACAACUUCUAAAGAUGUCUCUGCUUCUACUACGCUGGGCCCUACAGAAUCUCACUGGAGUUUAGUUUCCACCACUGCUCUCUUUUCAGACAAAGUCAGCACAUCACCAGUUCAUUCUCCUUAUUCUAUGACUCCAACUCCAACUCCAACCAUCACAUCUGCACUGCCUGAGAUUUCUCCAGCUUCACCAUCCAUACUUACAAUGGCAACAUCAGUAUCUCGAGCCCCAACAAAAACCACAGAAACAACUUCCACUUCUGAGACACCUCUGCUUGCAUCUACUUCAGCUGAGGAAGAGAUUAUUUCUACCACUCAAACAUCCACAGCUAGACCUCUGAGUAUUCAUUCUGUCACUGAGACAACUAGGGUUUCUCUUGACACAGAUAGAGCUGUGCUGUCAACCACCGCGACAACCCAGAUGUCAACACUGGUCCAUGAGUCCUCCAGCACCUUUCCUUCCACAAUGACUCCAAAAUUCACAACCCGUGUCACACCAGUCCUGACCUCACGGGUGGCUGUGGCUACGACACGACGAGAAACUUCACGAGUUGUGGCCACAACCAGCAUCUCACCUCCAACUAGAAAUGUAACGAUACUGACAACACCUGCAACCACUUCUACAGAUAAAGUGACCACUGUUUCCAUAGACAGAACUUCUUCUAGUAUGCCUGUUGCUACUUCUAGCACACUUCCAACACACAUUCCUGACAUCACUGAAUACACCUUUGGAUUUACAGAGUACACCACUGAAACUGGUCCGACCACAACACUGAUUUCAUCAAUUGGAACAACUCCAGUGCCUAGUGUGGCAUCAGUUUUUACCCAGACUACCAUUUCAACACAGCCCCCUACUUCCUCUACUGUCACUGAGAGUAGACCUGUAACCAGUGCAAGUGCAUCUACUGAGCUCCCUCUAGUGGAUGAACGUACCACAGUCACAGCCAUGCCACCUGCUCCGGACACUGCCCAAACAACACUGAGCUCAUCUGUGAUGACCAGCCUGCCCUACACGAUAGAAACAGAGCACUGGAUGACGAGCCAGACACAUGCAGAUUUAAAAACUACUGCUCACGAGCCAAGCAGAGUAUGCACCGU